UACGGGCGGUCCCUAGGUUCUCUGAAUUUUUCUUCGAGGAUUAAAACACGCUUCAAGUACCUAGAAAUAUCCUAAAAAAUCCAAAAUCUAUGUUAGGAAACCUUUUUUGCCAAUUUCAGAAUUUCGGCACGGCAGCUCUGCCAUGCUCCGACGAUGUUUGCCUUGGGUCGGCUGUUUUCGGCCAAUUUUGUACCAAUCCCUAUGAUAAAACACGUUAAGGGGCCUCGAUUGACCGAAAAAAGUCAAAAACUCAAAACUUACUGGCAGCGGGGUUCUCCGGUGCGGCGGCUCCACCAGCUCAUCUUCGCGGUUGGGUGUUUUGCUUCAGUUAACUUAU
rnacentral:lncRNA from 1 species